rnacentral:lncRNA from 10 species
CUUAAUUUUGUGAGAAUCCAAGCCCACUGGAGAAAUUAUGCCAGGAAAUUCAGAGUGGAAGGGGAAAAGAGUUAGUGUCUGAAGGAAGAUAUGCGAAAGCAGAAUUCAGGUUAAGAAGAGUCUCAAGCCUGGGGAAAAAACAGUAAGCUCCUCUGUGUAACUGGGACUGUGGCUGUUCCCUCUGGUGCUGCCUGGAAGGACUUUGAAAUGUGGAGGAUAUCUUCAUAGUAGGCACAUUUGAGUAGCACCCUGUUCCUCAAGGCUCUCAAUUCUAGCAAAGAUUCCCAUGAACACUGUGGUGCAGAGCCACAGAACCACUGGACUUGGGCAUUCCUGCAAGCUGGACAGCGUUCAUCUCAGCAAGAACUGGUUGUGCUUGGGAAAGAUUUUUAGACAAUAAUAAACUGGAAAUUUGAGAGAGGAAAGUACAGUCUAAACCUUCACCUGGUAAUGGAUGAAGAGCAAGGAGAGUGGGACCACCCUCUCAUUCUUUUCCCAAACAUGGAUGGAUGUGAGCAGGGGACUAUGACCCAAGGGUCAGGGGGAAAGGAGAAAUGGAAUGGCUUCAAGGAUGAAGAGGCUUGACUGAAGAUUUGGUUUGAAUGAGUAACUCACUGUUUCCCACCAAUUAAAAAAACCUCAUAUCUCUGUGUAAGCCCCACAUGGCUACUCCAUUAUCUGAGACUCCAAGUUCUCUGAGACUAAUAAAGACUCUGAGUAGCCCUCUCAAUAAGUGGAUUUGGAACUGUUCUGGAAGAAAGAAAAAUUUCCAAGAAGACUCAGUUUCUGAAAGGCACAGGCAAGAAAUGUCCCCUGUGCUCAGCUCACAUAUUCAGCUCUUGAGGAACUCGGGGAACUUAUCGCCCCUCCAUCCAGCCACUGAUUUUUCUGAUGGUUCCUGUCUUUGAAACAUCUCUCAUUCAGGCUAAAAAAAAUGGUUUCUUUUUGUAUGCUGUGAAGAGGACAACAAAAUAGGUGUAAAUUUUCUUUAUAGAGAUAUGUG